UACGUAGGGGGCGAGCGUUGUCCGGAGUUACUGGGCGUAAAGCGCACGCAGGCGGUCUGUUAAGUUUGGAGUGACAGUUGGUGGCUCAACCACCAAAGUGCUUUGAAAACUGAUAGACUUGAGGGCUUCAGAGGGACACGGAAUUCCGGGUGGAGUGGUGAAAUUCGUAGAGAUCCGGAGGAACACCAAAGGCGAAGGCAGUGUCCUGGGGAGUACCUGACGCUCAGGUGCGAAAGCCAGGGGAGCGAACGGG
rnacentral:rRNA from 1 species